GCGCUGGAAACGGUGUCUAAUACUGGAUAUGAGCUCUCAUCGCAUGGUGGGGGUUGGAAAGAUUUUUCGGUCUGGGAUGGGCUCGCGGCCUAUCAGCUUGUUGGUGAGGUAAUGGCUUACCAAGGCGUCGACGGGUAGCCGGCCUGAGAGGGUGACCGGCCACACUGGGACUGAGACACGGCCCAGACUCCUACGGGAGGCAGCAGUGGGGAAUAUUGCACAAUGGGCGGAAGCCUGAUGCAGCAACGCCGCGUGAGGGAUGACGGCCUUCGGGUUGUAAACCUCUUUUAGCAAGGAAGAAGCGAAAGUGACGGUACUUGCAGAAAAAGCGCCGGCUAACUACGUGCCAGCAGCCGCGGUAAUACGUAGGGCGCAAGCGUUAUCCGGAAUUAUUGGGCGUAAAGAGCUCGUAGGCGGUUUGUCGCGUCUGCUGUGAAAACCCGAGGCUCAACCUCGGGCCUGCAGUGGGUACGGGCAGACUAGAGUGCGGUAGGGGAGAUUGGAAUUCCUGGUGUAGCGGUGGAAUGCGCAGAUAUCAGGAGGAACACCGAUGGCGAAGGCAGAUCUCUGGGCCGUAACUGACGCUGAGGAGCGAAAGGGUGGGGAGCAAACAGGCUUAGAUACCCUGGUAGUCCACCCCGUAAACGUUGGGAACUAGUUGUGGGGUCCUUUCCACGGAUUCCGUGACGCAGCUAACGCAUUAAGUUCCCCGCCUGGGGAGUACGGCCGCAAGGCUAAAACUCAAAGGAAUUGACGGGGACCCGCACAAGCGGCGGAGCAUGCGGAUUAAUUCGAUGCAACGCGAAGAACCUUACCAAGGCUUGACAUACACGAGAACAUCCCAGAAAUGGGGGACUCUUUGGACACUCGUGAACAGGUGGUGCAUGGUUGUCGUCAGCUCGUGUCGUGAGAUGUUGGGUUAAGUCCCGCAACGAGCGCAACCCUCGUUCUAUGUUGCCAGCACGUAAUGGUGGGAACUCAUGGGAUACUGCCGGGGUCAACUCGGAGGAAGGUGGGGAUGACGUCAAAUCAUCAUGCCCCUUAUGUCUUGGGCUUCACGCAUGCUACAAUGGCCGGUACAAAGGGCUGCAAUACCGUGAGGUGGAGCGAAUCCCAAAAAGCCGGUCCCAG
rnacentral:rRNA from 1 species